GAUCAUGGCUCAGGAUGAACGCUAGCUACAGGCUUAACACAUGCAAGUCAGGGGCAGCAUGGUCUUAGCUUGCUAAGGCCGAUGGCGACCGGCGCACGGGUGAGUAACACGUAUCCAACCUGCCGUCUACUCUUGGCAGCCUUCUGAAGGAAGAUUAAUACAAGAUGGCAUCAUGAGUUUCACAUGUUCACAUGAUUAAAGGUAAUUCCGGUAGACGAUGGGG
rnacentral:rRNA from 1 species